rnacentral:rRNA from 1 species
GACGAACGCUGGCGGCGGGCUUAACACAUGCAAGUCGAACGGAAAGGCCCUGCUUUUGUGGGGUGCUCGAGUGGCGAACGGGUGAGUAACACGUGAGUAACCUGCCCUUUACUUUGUGAUAACUUCAGGAAACUGGUGCUAAUACCUGAUAGGAGCUCCUGCUGCAUGGUGGGGGUUGGAAAGUUUCGGUGGUUGGGGAUGGACUCGCGGCUUAUCAGCUUGUUGGUGGGGUAGUGGCUUACCAAGGCUUUGACGGGUAGCCGGCCUGAGAGGGUGACCGGCGACAUUGGGACUGAGAUACGGCCCAGAGUCCUACGGGAGGCAGCAGUGGGGAAUAUUGCACAAUGGGCGGAAGCGUGAUGCAGCAACGCCGCGUGCGGGAUGACGGCCUUCGGGUUGUAAACCGCUUUCGCCUGUGACGAAGCGUGAGUGACGGUAAUGGGUAAAGAAGCACCGGCUAACUACGUG